GCCGCUAUAGCUCAGUGGCCGAGCGCUGGUCUUGUAAACCGGUGGUCGUGAGUUCGAUCCUCACUGGCGGCU
rnacentral:tRNA from 1 species